GUUUUCUCCACUAGAUUUUCUACUUUCCUACGCGCAAUUUGGCUCCGAGUUGGAGGUAGACGAACCAGCCGCCGGAGCGAAUUCGUCAAAGGCUCGCCUUCGAUCCACCGUCUGCGUUCUCCUUGGCUUGCUCCGGUGGUUGGUGUUUCCGAUUUCCCCCGCUUUGGAUUCUUCCGUUGUCGAUUAGAGAGCGAGCUCGGUAGAUGAUCUGUUGAUGCUUCUGUGGUCUUGAUUGCAAACAGAUACAAAUUCGUCUCUUUGCUUAUUGGCAACUUGGCGCAUCCUCUGGUGGUCAGUUAUUGAGGUACGGAUUCAGUAGGUUUUCCUUGCUGGGGGUCGAAGCGAUUUGGCUGAUGGAUGCCGUUCCUGAGAGUUCACCGGCGCGAAAUCUCUCUGAUGGGGCUGCCGAUUUGGAUUUUCUGGAUCAGUUUUUCUCUGGAGAUGGCUGGUUGGAAUUUCCUGAAUUCCUUGAUGAAUUCCAAUCUGAUACGCCUAAAGCCAUCAGCCCCUUCAACCCUAUGAGCUUUUCGCCGCUUUUUGAGGUCAACGAUAACAACCCUAAUCCGAGUAUGCUGGAGACCUGUUAUCGAGAAGGCAUAGGGAGGCCAGAUGCAUCUACGUGUCUUCCCGGGGAUGAAUCCAUGAACGAGAAUCUAACCUCGGAGACAAGAACGAGUUGGCAGAUUCAACCAGGGGCUUCCAGUUUCUCUGUGGAAGAGAAAAUCGUACGGGUACUUGAUCACUUCAAGGAGAUUCAAAGGGAUGGAGAAGUACUAGUUCAGUUAUGGGUGCCUGUGAAGAGAGGAGACCAAAUGUUUCUUACAACGUACGGUCAACCUUUCUCACUCGACCCGAAUUGUGAGAGACUUGUAAACUAUCGACAAGUCUCCACCAGCUAUCAGUUCUCAGCCGAAGAGAGCUCUGGAAAGGCAUUAGGGUUGCCUGGUCGAGUAUUUAUAGGAAGAUUGCCUGAGUGGACACCAGAUGUUCGAUACUUUAACAGCUAUGAGUACCCACGUGUGGACUAUGCACAGCGGUUUGGAAUACGUGGAAGUAUAGGAAUUCCUGUUUUUGAUCAUGGUCGUCGUUCUUGCUUGGGAGUUGUGGAAGUUAUCAUGACAACUCAGAAAAUAAACUACACGUUUGAGCUUGAGAAAAUUUGCAAUGCUCUGCAGGAAGUAGAUCUUAGUAGUUCUUCAACAGUGAUUGUUCCACAGAUUAAGGUGAGUAGUGAUUCUUACCAAGCAGCUGUAUCUGAGAUUCUGGAGGUCCUAAAAACUGUUUGCAAGAUUCACAUGUUACCAUUAGCUCAAACUUGGGUACUAUGCACACAACAAGGUAAGAAAGGCUUCCGCCAUUCUGAUGAAAACUAUAGGGAAUGUGUCUCCACUGCUGAUGCUGCUUGUUAUGUAAAUGACCCUUCUAUGAUUGAUUUUUAUGAGGCCUGCUCCGAGUAUCACUUGCUAAAAGGACAAGGUAUUGUUGGUAGAGCUUUCAUCACAAAUCAACCAUGCUUUUUUCCGGAUGUUACCACUUUCAGUAAGACAGAGUAUCCGCUUGUUCACCAUGCAAAGUUGUUUGGUUUGAAAGGUGCUGUUGCGAUACGCCUUCGGAGUAUUCUUACUGGAAAUGCUGAUUUUGUAUUGGAGUUCUUUCUCCCUACAAAUUGCUUACUGAUUGAAGACCAAAAACUGAUGCUUGCUUCAUUAUCAAGAACUAUGCAACAUGUUUGCCAAAAUUUAAGGGUUGUCACCAAUAAGGAGCUAGCAGAUGAUUCGACAUUAUGGGUAAAUAAAAUGAUUCCUCCAAACUUUUUGAUGGAAAGUUCUUCGCCUGAAGCAGAACCAGGUAAAAUAGAUCACACUGUCACUACUAUUGAAGGUCAGAUAACAAGGAUGUCUAGGGAUGUUGCACCUUUAUCAAAUACAGAAGGAGGCUUGAAGAAAAAAACAAGCCAAGAUGAUCAUAAGGAUGAAAUAGAAAGAUUUGGUAUCAUAAGGGACAGAGAUGAUGUUGAAGUGAUAUCAAAUGCACUAAAUAUAUCUUCAAUGCAUAAGCAGCAUCCAGUAGACAUGGGCAAAGAUGAUAGUGAUAAUGAAAAUUCUAUGAAUUUUGGUAGUAGUAGUAAUCCGGUGGUGGCAAAGACAACAGCAAAGAGGCACAGAAAACCAGAGAAGAAUGUCAGUUUGGAAGUUCUUCAGAAAUAUUUUUCUGGUAGCCUGAAAGAUGCUGCAAAGAGUGUCGGUGUGUGCCCUACUACUCUUAAAAGAAUCUGUCGGCAGCAUGGAAUAACUCGUUGGCCUUCCCGGAAGAUAAAGAAAGUAGACCACUCUUUAAAGAAACUGCAGGUUGUUAUUGACUCAGUUCAUGGAGCUGAUAAAGCCAUUCAACUAAGUUCCCUGUAUAAAAAUUUCACAACAGUACCCAUCUCAGAGAAGAAUUCAUCAGGAGACUCUCAAGAUAGAAACUCAGGAGAUUUUCCAGUAUCAAAAUCGAUCCAAAAUGACUGUCCAAAUAGUAAUCAGGACGUAGAUGCUAGAUCAAGUCAUCACCAUUCAUCAUCUUCUCACUCAUCAUGCAGUCAAACUUCGACUCCAAGUCUCUCAUCUCCAGGUGGAGAAAAGCACUGUAUUCAGAUUGCUAACCCUGGAAUGAAGCAAGAAGAAAACCAUGAGAAAAUUAGUGGUAUUCCUCAGGGAGCAAAUAGGGAGAUGGAUUUGCAUCUGUCAUCUCAAAGCACAUGGAUUUAUCCUAAUGAAUUUCAGAGUCACAAAUCACUUGGAGAGCAUUAUUCUACUUUGGAGCCUACUGGAAAUCUUAAAAGCAAUUGGAUGAUAGUAAAAGCCACAUAUGGUGAAGAGAAAGCUAGGAUACGAUUAGAUCCUAGUUGGAACUUUGAAGAGUUGAGACAUGAGAUCUUGAAGAGGUUCAAUAUAGUUGUUGAAAAUUCUGUGAAUCUCCAUUACGUCGAUGAUGAGUCGGAGUGGGUUUUACUAACAUGUGAUGCAGAUCUACAGGAGUGCAUUCAUAUAUAUAGAUUGUCAGAUGUUCAAACAAUAAAAAUUUCUGUCCAAGAAAUUGUUACUCAUGGACCAUAGCAUCUCCAUGUAACAUCUGAUGGAGUUCAUCAUUUGGAGGCCAAUCUGCUUUCUUCCAGCUAUGGAAUUUUUCAAUGAUGGCCUGAUCUUAGCAAUGAUCUGUGACCAUGUAUCUAUCAGUGUGGAUUGUUGGCCAUGGACUCUCAAACACAUGCAAUGCUCCAUGCUGAAAUGCUAAUGCUCAUUGAGACCGUCCUGAAUAUGAAACAAAGUAGCACGCUGAUACAAAAAGUGAAUUGAUCGCUUAAAAAGAAUUUUAUGGAAUUAACUAUUCUUCUAACAACUUACAAGAUAGAUUCCUUAUGCUCAUUCUCAAGGGGAAAGACUUGUUAACAAUGUAUAAAGAUCAAAGGCAAAAUAAACUAUAGAUGCAAUGGGUUUCACAUUUAUCAUGCUUGCAUCCCGAUUAAAGAUCCAAUUGGUUGUUAGCAUGAACUUUGACAGACAAUUACAGAGAUUGUUGGAUGUUUAGUGUGCUCCAUUGAUUCAAGAUCAACAAACUCCAGAGUCAUGAUGGUAAGCAGAAAAAAUAACAUCCUCAAAAAGGAUCUGAACAGAUGCUAAUACUGGCUACUGGCAAGGUUACAGACUAUGAAUGAGUAAUUCCAAAUCAACAGUUAUCCAAAUUCAAACGCAGUGGAGUAUUGCUCAGUUUUGUGCAAUAAUUUAUCUUGAUGCAAUGUUAAUACUUUUGUUUAAGUUUUGCCAACCAAAAUCUGAGCUCUAGUUUGGUAGCUUGAUUGAGACAUGGAGUUUGAGAAAUGC